rnacentral:lncRNA from 1 species
ACUGCUGCUGCUGCUGCUUUUGCUGCUGGUACAGCACUAGGAUCUCCAAAGCUACGCUCUUCCCGCCUUUAAGGGUUAGCAAACUUCCUUCCCCACAUUCCUUAAAGACUGCUCCCUGCCCUGCCCGUCCCUGUUCUCAAGUGGUGGUUUUCUGACUUCCUAAGCCUCCCUUUCGAAAGUGAAGAUGCCUGCAAAGACUGGAGGAGGAGGAGGCUUCAGGAGGGAAGCCGCUCAGCAGAUCCUGGCCGGAGGUUCAGCGGCUGCAGUAUCUUCUAGCGGUGAUUCUUCUCUUCUGAGAUAUGGUGUUAUUGUGGGAAACACCUCAACACCAACCCAAUACAACUAACAGGACUGGGAACAUCCAUUUCUUAGGAUGGACUCUGAUCUGGACUCAGAAAAAUAAACAAAAAGAAGAGGCAGCUGUGGUCUUGAAU